GGGAGGAGCCCCAGGCAGCAGUGCAGCAACAGCGGGGGGGCAGGCGUGGUGGGCGAGACCAUCUUGCGCGCCAAGGGGGCAGGGCAGCGAAGCGCCGCAGAGGCCCGAGGCACAGGGCUGCAGCGGAUCUGCGGCAGCUGAGGGUAUCAGACCGCCUACUGCCUGGCCAACAGCAACUCCAGCACGUUCACCACAGUGGAGAUGGGAGCUAUGGUGAGGCGAUUCAUGGCCACCGAUCUGGCCCCAGAGUCAGCAUACAUCUUCAGGCUGAUGAUCAAGAUGAGGCAAGGCUGGGGAGCCCCUAGAGGCUACCAUCAUCACCACUGAGAAGUGAGAAAAUUCUAGAAGCAGAAACCUUAGCUCAGAAG